CAAAGCACUUUGAAGAGAGAGUUAAAGAGGACGUGAAACUGGCACGAUGGAAACGGAUAGAGCUAGCGAACUCGUUCGUAUUCAGCCAACGGUUCUGGGUUCGGUUUUGUUGUGUUUCAGUUUUGUGCACGCAGGAUCGAGCGCCUAGGUUCCAAGGUGCAUUUGCGGACGAUUGCGCCGAGACUUGUGGGGCAGCGGUAGGACCCGGUUCAUGAGGCCUCCUUUUGGUUGUACCCUGAACUGGUAUACGACUGUUUGCUCUGCUCGUAAUGUUGGUUCGGCCUCGGGUGAAACUGCCGUUGGCGUUCUCUUGUGGUGGCAACAGCACGCUUUGCCUAACUUGGGGAUUCCGGCUGCGGUGUAGCUCUCGAACUGUCUCUCGGUGUAAAAGCUGGUCAUCUAUCCGACCCGCCUUGAAACACGGACCAAGGAGUUUAGCGUAUGUGCGAGCCACUGGGUAUUGCAAAACCUAUGGGCACAAUGAAAGUGAAGGCUCGGUCGCCGAGCUUACAUGCGACUGUGCUAGCUUCGGCUGGUGCGGGCAGCAUGGUCCCGUUUCAGUCGCUUGCGACGGAGCGGAGACAGAGUGCAUGCGCUGAGACCCGAAAGAUGGUGAACUAUUCCUGAGCAGGACGAAGCCAGAGG
rnacentral:rRNA from 1 species